rnacentral:rRNA from 1 species
UACGUAGGGGCAAGCGUUGUCCGGAAUCAUUGGGCGUAAAGGGCGUGUAGGCGGCCAGAUAAGUCCGCUGUGAAAACUCGAGGCUCAACUUCGAGCUGUCGGUGGAAACUAUUUGGCUAGAGUCCGGAAGAGGAGAGUGGAAUUCCUGGUGUAGCGGUGAAAUGCGCAGAUAUCAGGAAGAACACCCGUGGCGAAGGCGGCUCUCUGGUACGGAACUGACGCUGAGUACGCGAAAGCGUGGGGAGCGAACAGG